GUAUUGUAUGAAAGGAGACUUCUCCUUUGCACUCUCUUUGACAAGGAUGGAAGAGGCCAUUGGCUUUGACAACACAUAUGAUUAAGGCACUGUUACCGUCUUAAAGAAGAUUAUGGUUAUCU
ensembl:snRNA